GGACUCCAGGAAAACCCAUGGCCAUGAGGUUGAUCCUGUUUUUUGGUGCCCUUUUUGGGCAUAUAUACUGUCUAGAAACAUUUGUGGGAGACCAAGUUCUUGAGAUUGUACCAAGCAAUGAAGAACAAAUUAAAAAUCUGCUACAAUUGGAGGCUCAAGAACAUCUCCAGCUUGAUUUUUGGAAAUCACCCACCACCCCAGGGGAGACAGCCCACGUCCGAGUUCCCUUCGUCAACGUCCAGGCAGUCAAAGUGUUCUUGGAGUCCCAGGGAAUUGCCUAUUCCAUCAUGAUUGAAGACGUGCAGGUCCUGUUGGACAAAGAGAAUGAAGAAAUGCUUUUUAAUAGGAGAAGAGAACGGAGUGGUAACUUCAAUUUUGGGGCCUACCAUACCCUGGAAGAGAUUUCCCAAGAAAUGGAUAACCUCGUGGCUGAGCACCCUGGUCUAGUGAGCAAAGUGAAUAUUGGCUCUUCUUUUGAGAACCGGCCUAUGAACGUGCUCAAGGUACACUGUGCAGGGACGUUUCUUCCUCUCGAUGUUUCUAGAAUCUCCCUCCUCCCAGGCUAG
rnacentral:sRNA from 1 species